rnacentral:lncRNA from 1 species
UCAUCGUUUCAUUUUCAAUACUCAUUGCAAGUUAAAAAAUGGGUAAAAAUAGCACAUACACUGUUCCAGAUUGUAGAACUGGAUACCGAUCAUAUAAAAAUAAAGAAACUAAUUCGAAAAUCACACUACAUGGCUUCCCAACUAAUAUAGAUAUGAUAAAUAAAUGGAAAAUAACAAUUCCAACAACUUAGGCACAAGAGGGCAAAUCAAUAAAUACAAAAAUUGCAAUAGUAUGUUGUUCCCUUCACUUUACAGAUAAUGAUUAUACAGACCAAAGCUUAAAUACUAACCAACCUUUAAAACUUCGAUUAUUGAAGAAGGGUGCUAUUCCUUCAAAAUUCCAAGGUCCAAGUUAUUUUUCUGCAAAAUCCGUUAAAUGUAGAAAUACAGAAAAAACAACAGCAGCUAAUAGAAGAAAAUCAAAAAAUUAAUCAUAUGAACCAGGAAUUGAUAAAUUCCGGUAAUGUUUCUACCUUGGAUGAAUUAAAAGGAAAAAUUAAAGAGUACAAUAUUCCAUCAAGUGUCCUUUGUAUUUCCGAAGAUACUUCAUUAACGUACUUCCUUAUUCAGAACCAAGUUUAGCUCCAGCCAUUGUCUUUAGUUUCGUCAUAGACUCGAACCUAACAUUUGAAAUGUAUAAGGAAAAUAAACUACUACCUUUAUCCGUAGUGAGCCAUAUAGUGCCUUCAAAAAAAAAAUCAAUACCUGUUCCGAAGUAUUAAAUAUUAUAAGCUCGAGUGAAGACUCACAACUUUGAGUCCAAUGUAAUACGACUCCAAGUCAAGUCGCGAGUUUUUGGGUACGUGAAUGAUCCAAAUCGAGUCCUCCUGGAGUUCGAAGUCCCAAUUUAACAAGAGUUAACGACAACCCAUGUGCAAGUUUCCAAUUCUGAUUAGUGAAUUAUAAUUAUAAUUAACUGAUGGCCAAAUAAACUGAAUAGUAUUUUCUUCACUUCACUUCUACUUAUUCAAUGGAACUAAAGAAAACCAGCACGCACUUUUAAUAGGUGCGUGAGUUAUUCAAGUCAUGUAGUAAAAGAUGUCUUUGGGCAAUCGACAGCUAAUAGGCAUUAUUAGUUUUGAGACUCGGUCCAGCACCGAUUUUUUUUUUUCGGUUCGGUCUUAAGUAAUUUUUUCUAGAACAAUAUUUCGAUCCAGACCGCGGUCUCACUUUGUAGACCGAUUUUUUUUCUGUCUCACUCACCAACCCAUAUAAUAACUGGAUGCACAACCUAUAGAAUAAAAAGGAGAAAAAGAGUGAGUUACCCUUCUGCUGUUGGCAGCCAUCUUGAGUACCUAUUUGUACGAAACACUCUUUAGUGACUUUACUUAUUCAUUAAAAGUUAAUGCAAAUUAUUGAAAAUCCAAUGGAGGUCUCCUUUAUCCAUCAAAAGGUGUAUUGGAAAUUUGUAUAGAAACGGAAAAAUGUAUCUUGAGACUCAAAAUUCAAGGAGUUCUCAAGACCAAAGCUACUGUGAAACAAAAUACUAUCGCCAGUCGUGUCCUACAAUAUGCAAUUAUAAAUUUAAGGAACUUGAAUUUCAUAGUCUUGACAGCUCACCAUUAAAUAACCAUAUCUUUAAAUUACAAAAACGUAUUAUCUGGACAUAUUCCAAAAUUAGGCUUCAUCAUGAAACCAGACUUAUUUCUGAGCAUUUAAAAAAAAAUUAUACGAAAGGCUCUUUCGAAACAGAUUCUUUUUAAGAAUCAAUGAUUCAAAGGUAUUAAAUAUCAUAUAUUAUAUUUGUAUUUUCUAAAAAUAAAUAGUAGCAAAGAU